CAGCCGCCGCGGUAAUACGUAGGUGGCAAGCGUUGUCCGGAAUUAUUGGGCGUAAAGCGCGCGCAGGUGGUUUAAUAAGUCUGAUGUGAAAGCCCACGGCUCAACCGUGGAGGGUCAUUGGAAACUGUUAAACUUGAGUGCAGGAGAGAAAAGUGGAAUUCCUAGUGUAGCGGUGAAAUGCGUAGAGAUUAGGAGGAACACCAGUGGCGAAGGCGGCUUUUGGCCUGUAACUGACACUGAGGCGCGAAAGCGUGGGGAGCAAACAGGAUUAGAGACCCCCGUAGUCCCUGUCUCUUAUACA
rnacentral:rRNA from 1 species